rnacentral:rRNA from 1 species
CCUACGGGAGGCAGCAGUGGGGAAUAUUGGACAAUGGGGGCAACCCUGAUCCAGCAAUACCGUGUGUGUGAAGAAGGCCUUCGGGUUGUAAAGCACUUUUAGUGGGAAAGAAAAGCUCAUGAUUAAUACUUAUGAGCCUUGACGUUACCCCACAGAAAAAAGCACUGGCUAACUCUGUGCCAGCAGCCGCGGUAAUACAGAGAGUGCGAGCGUUAAUCGGAAUUACUGGGCGUAAAGCGCACGUAGGUGGAUUCUUAAGUCGGAUGUGAAAUCCCUGGGCUUAACCUAGGAAUUGCAUUCGAUACUGGGUAUCUUGAAUAUGGUAGAGGGAAGUGGAAUUUCCGGUGUAGCGGUGAAAUGCGUAGAUAUCGGAAGGAACAUCAGUGGCGAAAGCGGCUUCCUGGACCAAUAUUGACACUUAGGUGCGAAAGCGUGGGGAGCAAACAGGAUUAGAUACCCUGGUAGUCCACGCCGUCAACGAUGAUAACUAGAUGUUGGGGAGCUUGNUCCUUAGUAUCGAAGCUAACGCGUUAAGUUAUCCGCCUGGGGAGUACGGCCGCAGGUUAAACUUNAAAGGAAUUGAGGCUUGGNGAGNGCGAGACGACACGAGGAGGAGG